GAGAGAGAGAGAGAGAGAGAGAGAGAGAGAGAGAGAGAGAUUAUUAUUAUAGUUUAUUGACAGAAUUUUGCGAUUACAAGAAGCUUAAAGUAAAAAUCAUUUCACUAAAAGAGAGAGAGAGAGAGAGUCUUGAUAGAGAGUCUUGAUAGAGAGUCUUGAUAGAGAGAGAGAGAGAGAGAGAGAGAGUCUUGAUAGAUAAUAUUGAGCACAGUCUUCACCGCUGGGUCGACUGUGGGGGGUUGCGCUAUUCCGGUUGGUGGCCGGUUGGUGGCCGUGGCUGUUCACGCACUAGCUCUUGCUGUGGCUGGCAUGCUGUUCUGUCCUCUCUUGUUCCAGGAAUUGCUGUCUGAGGUGUGUGUGUGUGUGUAGAAGCCACCAUCAUCAACCACAGCAGGUGAUAAUGAUGUUUCCUGCUUUCAUCCUCAUUGGGGCUAGCCAGACCAACUUGGGGCUGUACUGGGGUGACGCUGUGUGCCUCAGGUGUAUCUGGAGGGCUGAGAUAGUGAGAAGAGCGGCAAUGGAUCUGUACAUGCGUGAGGUGGCGAGGGGCGUGGCCAGGGGGCGGCUAGCAGCGUGUGCCACCAGAGAAAUGUGCACAGAUGCAGGGUGGUGAGGCAGUGUUCAUCCCAGGGGCACACCACACAGGGUCAGCAACACAGGUGGUGGUGGAGAGGCACCUGUGGGACGCCCAGGGGAACACCAAACACGACCUUGACAGACAGAAGAGUUUAUUGAUGAAGUGUGGAAGAAGAGGAGGAAGGAACAAUGAUAUUCGACCAGCUGCGGCAUCUGGGGGCUUCACUUGACUGGGACAGCUGGGACAUGGAUGCAGCGAGAGACUGGCCUGUGUGUCUGUCUGUACAUCCGCACACCCUUGACCUCCAUGUCCACCCAGCAGGAGGAAGAUCUGGACACCUGUUACUCCUCUGGUCCCUCCCUUUGCCUCGCUGGGCUGGCCGGGGUCAGGGGGAGGGGAGAGACCAUGCCUGACCUUGCUCGCUUCU